UGGGGAAUUUUGGACAAUGGGCGAAAGCCUGAUCCAGCAAUGCCGCGUGUGUGAAGAAGGCCUUCGGGUUGUAAAGCACUUUUGUCCGGAAAGAAAUCCUUGGCUCUAAUACAGUCGGGGGAUGACGGUACCGGAAGAAUAAGCACCGGCUAACUACGUGCCAGCAGCCACGGUAAUACGUAGGGUGCAAGCGUUAAUCGGAAUUACUGGGCGUAAAGCGUGCGCAGGCGGUUUGCUAAGACCGAUGUGAAAUCCCCGGGCUCAACCUGGGAACUGCAUUGGUGACUGGCAGGCUAGAGUAUGGCAGAGGGGGGUAGAAUUCCACGUGUAGCAGUGAAAUGCGUAGAGAUGUGGAGGAAUACCGAUGGCGAAGGCAGCCCCCUGGGCCAAUACUGACGCUCAUGCACGAAAGCGUGGGGAGCAAACAGGAUUAGAUACCCUGGUAGUCCACGCCCUAAACGAUGUCAACUAGUUGUUGGGGAUUCAUUUCCUAGUAACGUAGCUAACGCGUGAAGUUGACCGCCUGGGGAGUACGGUCGCAAGAUUAAAACUCAAAGGAAUUGACGGGGUCAUAGCUGUUUCCU
rnacentral:rRNA from 1 species